rnacentral:tRNA from 1 species
GUGGGCGUAGCUCAGUUGGUAGAGCCCUGGAUUGUGAUUCCAGUUGUCGUGGGUUCGAGCCCCAUCGUCCACC